rnacentral:rRNA from 1 species
AUGACAGAUCAUACUACUUGUGUUGCUUGCACCAUGAGACUUAUUGUUCAUCUUGGACCACUUGAUUGCACACAUGUUAGAGAUCUUGCUUCGACUUGUCAUUUUCACCAUUACAUGCAUCAUGAUAUAUAUGCCUUGUGUGUUGCAUCCAAUUCUUGGAUUACUUGCUCCUAUCAUAUGUUUGGUUGCAACAAUGUCAUCACCUCACAUAUGCCAUGUCCCGUUGAUUGCUACAUGCUUGCCUUGAUUGCCUCACACAUGAUGAACAAUUGCUCUUUCCAUUGUGUUGAGUGCCAAACAAUAUUCACUACACCGCAUGCACAUUAUGCUUGGAUUGUCUUGCACUUGACCCAUGUGUUUAGACACUUCAUUUUAUUUGGUGUUGUGAAUGCUUCUUAUGCCUACCAUAGACCUUUCAUUGAGCGCUUUGCCCAUGCUUGA